rnacentral:rRNA from 1 species
GAUGAACGCUGGCGGCGUGCCUAAUACAUGCAAGUCGAGCGACCAGACGAGGAGCUUUCUCCUCUACCGUUAGCGACGGACGGAUGAGUAACACGUGGAUACCUACCUAUAAUACUGGGGUAACUUCGGUAAACCAGCGCUAAUACCGGAUCCUAUCUUCCACCGGAUGGUUCAAUAGUGAAAUACGGUUUUGCUGUCACUUAUAGAUGGAUCCACGACGCAUUAGCUAGUUGGUGAGGUAACGGCCUACCAAGGCAACGAUGCGUAGCCGGCCUGAGAGGAUGAUCAGCCACACUGGAACUGAGACACGGUCCAGACUCCUAAGGGAGGCAGCAGUGGGGAAUAUUGGAGAAUGGGCGCAAGCCUGAUCCAGCCAUACCGCGUGGGUGAAGAAGGCCUUCGGGUUGUAAAGCCCUUUUGUUGGGAAAGAAAAGCAGCAGGUUAAUACCCCGCUGUUCUGACGGUACCCAAAGAAUAAGCACCGGCUAACUUCGUG